AUGGGGAAUUCACAAGAUGCUGGAAUAAUGGGAAUAAAUCUGGUGUUCCGAUAUUCAUUAUAUGCCUUCCCUACAGGUGUCCAAUCGGAGGUUCAGCUGGUCCAGUCUGGGGCAGAAAUUAAGAAGCCCGGCGAGUCUGUGAAGCUAUCCUGUAAAACCUCAGGGUUCACUCUCACCGACUACUAUAUGAGUUGGAUCAGGCAGACUCCUGGGAAAGGACUGGUUUGGCUUGGAAGAAUUGACCCUGAAGAUGGUGCCACUAGCUAUGCCGACUCCGUGAAAAACAGAGUCACCAUCUCGACAGAUAACUCCAUCAGCACCGUGUAUCUGCAACUCCGCAGUCUGAGAAAGGAAGACACCGCUGUGUAUUACUGUGCAAGAGACACAGUGAGAAGAAACCUAGUUCUAGCCAUGCAAAAACUCUCAGCGUGA